AUCUGCAGGCCACUGGGUCUGUGCAGUUACCAACCGACCCACCAGAGACCUUUCUCCUCCCACACCAGGGAAAAUGCCUCUUUGGCUCCAUUUCGUGUUCGUUGCAGCAGCUUUGGAAGGUGUCCUGUCACAAGUCCAGCUGCUGGACUCCGGCGGGGAUGUGAAAAAGCCUGGAGACUCCCUCAGACUGACCUAUACCACCUCAGGGUUCAACAUAGACAGCUACUGGAUGCACUGGGUCCGCCAGGCUCCUGGGCAGGGGCUGGAGUGGGUAUCAGCAAUUAAUGGAGCAACAGCCUAUUACGGAGAUUCCGUGAAAGGGCGAUUCACCACCUCUACAGACAGCUCCAAGAAGCUGAUCUACCUGCAGAUGACCGGCCUGAAGCCCGAGGACACCGCCCGGUAUUACUGUGCGAGAGACACAGUUGUUCUGAUCCAGUCCGAUCCCGAAGGGAAGCAGCCCCGGGAAUCCACCCAGCUGAAAUGCGCCUUAAGCGGGUUUGUUCCUAACAACUGGUGGAUGGAUUGGGUCAGGCAGCAGCCGGGAAAGGGACUGGAGUGGCUGGUUCACUAUCACAAAUCUUUAGUCACUAAUUUCUACUCCCCUUCCAUCGAGGGGCGCUUCACAGCCUCCAAGGACAGCAUCACUUCUACCUGCAAAUGA